rnacentral:rRNA from 1 species
GAGUGGCGCACGGGUGAGAAACACGUGGGUAAUCUACCCUUGAGUUGGGGAUAACCUAUCGAAAGAUGGGCUAAUACCGAAUGACAUUGCUUUUCAUUAAGGAGAGUAAUUAAAGAUUUAUCGCUUGGGGAUGAGCCCGCGUCUGAUUAGCUAGUUGGUGGGGUAAUGGCCUACCAAGGCGACGAUCAGUAGCUGGUCUGAGAGGAUGAUCAGUCACACUGGAACUGGAACACGGUCCAGACUCCUACGGGAGGCAGCAGUGGGGAAUAUUGCGCAAUGGGGGAAACCCUGACGCAGCGACGCCGCGUGGGUGAGGAAGGUUUUAGGAUCGUAAAGCCCUGUCAAGUGGGAAGAAGAAGUGACGGUACCACUAAAGGAAGCACCGGCUAACUCCGUGCCAGCAGCCGCGGUAAUACGGAGGGUGCAAGCGUUGUUCGGAUUUAUUGGGCGUAAAGAGAGUGUAGGCGGUUUGUUAAGUCAGAAGUGAAAGCCCCGGGCUCAACCCGGGAAGUGCUUUUGAAACUGGCAGACUUGAGUACGGGAGAGGGUAGCGGAAUUCCAAGUGUAGAGGUGAAAUUCGUAGAUAUUUGGAGGAACACCGGUGGCGAAGGCGGCUACCUGGACCGAUACUGACGCUGAGACUCGAAAGCGUGGGGAGCAAACGGGAUUAGAUACCCCGGUAGUCCACGCCCUAAACGAUGAGUACUAGGUGUUGC